rnacentral:rRNA from 1 species
AGCAGCCGCGGUAAUUCCAGCUCCAAUAGCGUAUAUUAAAGUUGUUGCAGUUAAAAAGCUCGUAGUUGAAUUUCGGGAUUAAUAUUCUGGUCGUGCCAUUGGUACGUACUAGUAUUAUUGAUUUCUCCCUUCUGAUGAAUCAUGAUGUCAUUAAUUUGAUGUCAUGGGGAAUCAGGACUGUUACUUUGAAAAAAUUAGAGUGUUUAAAGCAGGCUCGCGCUUGAAUACAUUAGCAUGGAAUAAUGAAAUAGGACGUUUGAUUCUAUUUUGUUGGUUUCUAGGAUUGACGUAAUGAUUAAUAGGGAUAGUUGGGGGCAUUAGUAUUCAAUUGUCAGAGGUGAAAUUCUUGGAUUUAUUGAAGACUAACUACUGCGAAAGCAUUUGCCAAGGAUGUUUUCAUUAAUCAAGAACGAAAGUUAGGGGAUCGAAGACGAUCAGAUACCGUCGUAGUCUUAACCAUAAACUAUGCCGACUAGGGAUCGGAUGAUGUUAAUUUUUAAUGUA